AAUACCCGGUCCGCCUGACGGUACCACCAGAGGAAGCUCCGGCUAACUCCGUGCCAGCAGCCGCGGUAAUACGGAGGGAGCUAGCGUUGUUCGGAAUUACUGGGCGUAAAGGGCGCGUAGGCGGUCGGGUAAGUCGGGUGUGAAAUUCCGGGGCUCAACCCCG
rnacentral:rRNA from 1 species